AACCCAAAAACACUCUAUAUUUUCCUACAAUUAAAUUUUUUCCAACUUAUAAAACAUACGGCCUUUUUUUUAUUUAAUCCUAUUUGAUUCCAACUUGAUUUCUUUCAACCCAAAAACACCCUAUAUUUCCCUACAAUUAAAUUCUUUCCAAAUUUAACCUUUUCCUCUUUUUUUUUUUAAUCCAAUUUGAUUCCUACUUGAUUUUUUUCAAUCAAAAAAACACACGCCUACUUGGUUUUUCCAAAAAAUACAUCCAAAUUUGUCUUGGUUUGUACCUUCUGUCCUUCCAUAUAAACCCUUGAGCUUUUCUCAUUGUUCAUCGUCAUAAACAGUUGCAUCUUUCAUUGUUUUUCGUCUCAUCACAAUUUCAACAAUUUUAUUUCCAGGUUUUUUAUCGUUAUAUCAUCUCUCCCUUUUUACAUUGUUAAUUUAAACACAAUAUUACUUGGUAUGCCAACUUAAUUUAGUUUAAUUUAGAUGAUGAGGAGGUAAUAUUAUUCUUUCAUACCUCACGUGUUUAAUAAACCUAAGCAAGUUAUUCUUUUUGCUUUUUUAUGUUUAUUUAAACAGAAUGUUUCUUAGUUUCGACUCUACAGAGGAUGAUACAAACAACUACUAUCAGGAAGAUUACUUAAAUACUCUAACACCAAACGGUCUGCCUCCCCACAGAUUGGUAUUAAACAAAAAUGUGCCUAUCAUGUUACUAAGAAAUUUAGAUGCUUCCAAUGGCUUGUGUAAUGGCACGAGAAUGAUAUGCCGAGGUUUUGACAACAACAUCAUACAUGCUGAAA